GCAGUGUCUUCCUUGUUUUGACUUCCCCUUUGAAGCGUCAAAGCUCAGUGGUCAAACAAGUUGUCUUAUGCACAGUGUCAUCAUUGUGAACUCCGGUGAGAGAAAGAGACGGACUCGCCUGCUUCAACGUCAACAGAUCAGAACACUCAGAGCCAGCUUGGAUGUUGCGAGAUCAGGCCCCCCACUUAGUGUAUUUGACAAGCUGAGUUGGACACUCUGUAUCGCUGAGUGUCAGUUUGUCAAAUACCCCAAGUGAGGUGUCACUUGUCUACAAAUGUGACCCAUCCUGGGUGACUCCACAGGCUGACCAGCCAGCUCCACAGGAUGGUCUACCUCACCAAGGAAACUGAAAACAGCACGGCGACAUGCUCAGAACCCUUUGCUUGUGAAAGUUUCAAGGAUAUAGAAAAGGAACAAGGUAAUAAUUAGGUGGUGAUAGUGAAGACACACAAAUGCUUAGUCAUCCUUUCAUCUGUUUAUCUGUCAGUUAUUUAGUGAAUCACAAGCAAAUGAUUUUUUAUGAACAGAAAGAUUCAUUGUAUACAGUCCAAAUAAGUGCAAUUUAUGAACCAACAAAGGCUUUAUUGAGAUGUUUGAAUAAAAUGAAAUAAAAGUGAAACCUCUUGAACCCAG